rnacentral:tRNA from 1 species
GCGGGUGUGGCGGAAUGGCAGACGCGUCAGAUUUAGGAUCUGAUGUUAAUUCGUGCAGGUUCAAGUCCUGUCACCCGCA